CUACUAAGCGUGAAGCCCUCCCCAAGAUUAGGUUUCGUAGGGCAAUGCCCGAAAGUCCCCUUGAAGAUCACGAGAAUUUCGCGGCCGCGUCGACUCUGAAGCCAUGCUUCCAGAAAAACUUCUACUAUUUAAUUGAUAUGGUGACUCGUACCGAGAACGAACACACGUGGUCAAGGAGAAAAUCCUAAGGCAAGCGAGAUAACUAUAGCUAAGGAACUCUGCAAAAUCAUCCCGUAAGUUAGACGAGAAGGGAUGCUUACUGAAAAGUAAGCCGCAGUGAAGAGGCCAGGGCGACUGUUUAACAAAAACACAGCUCUCUGCUAAGUCGUAAGACGAUGUAUAGGGGGUGACGCCUGCCCAGUGCUGGAAGGUUAAGAGGAUGGGUUAGCGUAUAUUUUAUAUGCGAAGCUUAUAAUUGAAGCCCCAGUGAACGGCGGCCGUAACUAUAACGGUCCUAAGGUAGCGAAAUUCCUUGUCAGGUAAAUUCUGACCCGCACGAAUGGCGUAACGAUCCUGGCGCUGUCUCAGCUAUAGACUCGGUGAAAUUUUAGUACC
rnacentral:rRNA from 1 species